rnacentral:lncRNA from 1 species
GAGGACCUGCGCUCCUGGACCGCCGCGGACACGGCGGCUCAGAUCACCCAGCGCAAGUGGGAGGCGGCCCGUGAGGCGGAGCAGCGGAGAGCCUACCUGGAGGGCGAGUGCGUGGAGUGGCUCCGCAGAUACCUGGAGAACGGGAAGGACAAGCUGGAGCGCACCCCCCAAAGACACACGUGACCCACCACCCCAUCUCUGACCAUGAGGCCACCCUGAGGUGCUGGGCCCUGGGUUUCUACCCUGCGGAGAUCACACUGACCUGGCAGCGGGAUGGCGAGGACCAAACUCAGGACACUGAGCUUGUGGAGACCAGACCAGCAGGAGAUAGAACCUUCCAGAAGUGGGCAGCUGUGGUGGUGCCUUCUGGAGAAGAGCAGAGAUACACAUGCCAUGUACAGCAUGAGGGGCUGCCGAAGCCCCUCACCCUGAGAUGGGCCGUCUUCCCAGUCCACCGUCCCCAUCGUGGGCAUUGUUGCUGGCCUGGCUGUCCUAGCAGUUGUGGUCAUCGGAGCUGUGGUCGCUGCUGUGAUGUGUAGGAGGAAGAGUUCAGGUGGAAAAGGAGGGAGCUACUCUCAGGCUGCGCAGCGACAGUGCCCAGGGCUCUGAUGUGUCUCUCACAGCUUGAAAAGCCUGAGACAGCUGUCUUGUGAGGGACUGAGAUGCAGGAUUUCUUCACGCCUCCCCUUUGUGACUUCAAGAGCCUCUGGCAUCUCUUUCUGCAAAGGCACCUGAAUGUGUCUGCGUCCCUGUUAGCAUAAUGUGAGGAGGUGGAGAGACAGCCCACCCUUGUGUCCACUGUGACCCCUGUUCCCAUGCUGACCUGUGUUUCCUCCCCAGUCAUCUUUCUUGUUCCAGAGAGGUGGGGCUGGAUGUCUCCAUCUCUGUCUCAACUUUACGUGCACUGAGCUGCAACUUCUUACUUCCCUACUGAAAAUAAGAAUCUGAAUAUAAAUUUGUUUUCUCAAAUAUUUGCUAUGAGAGGUUGAUGGAUUAAUUAAAUAAGUCAAUUCCUGGAAUUUGAGAGAGCAAAUAAAGACCUGAGAACCUU